UGGGGAAUAUUGGACAAUGGGCGAAAGCCUGAUCCAGCCAUGCCGCGUGUGUGAAGAAGGUCUUCGGAUUGUAAAGCACUUUAAGUUGGGAGGAAGGGCAGUAAGCGAAUACCUUGCUGUUUUGACGUUACCGACAGAAUAAGCACCGGCUAACUCUGUGCCAGCAGCCGCGGUAAUACAGAGGGUGCAAGCGUUAAUCGGAAUUACUGGGCGUAAAGCGCGCGUAGGUGGUUCGUUAAGUUGAAUGUGAAAGCCCCGGGCUCAACCUGGGAACUGCAUCCAAAACUGGCGAGCUAGAGUAGGGCAGAGGGUGGUGGAAUUUCCUGUGUAGCGGUGAAAUGCGUAGAUAUAGGAAGGAACAUCAGUGGCGAAGGCGACCACCUGGGCUCAUACUGACACUGAGGUGCGAAAGCGUGGGGAGCAAACAGG
rnacentral:rRNA from 1 species